UCUGGGUGGUAAAUAAAAAAAUAUGAAAAUCAAUACACAAUGAACUUUAUGUAGAAAUAAACAUAGUUAUACUGAUUUUAUGUCGUAAAUAUACAUGAUUUAUUUAUUAUGUUAAAAUUAAAAAUUGAUAUUUUUAAUCUGUAUAUCACGUGACUAAAAACACGAGCCGCCAUGCUGUGACGUCAUAUUGGCAAUAAUCAUUCGCUGUCAUCUGUCAACAACUUUUUAUUUUCUAUUCGCAUUCUAUUCGUCAGUGCUCUUCGUGAAAAUUAUUCAGUUGAUAUUUAUUUAAAUCAUACGAAAUAAGUUAAAUACUACUAAAAACACGAAAUGGAAGCCGGUUUCGUAAAAGCAGAUAGUACGAACUUACCAAAAAUCGACACGAUAAUGGUUGCAAAGUUCUUUGCAUGUAAUCCAGAUUUCUGUUCUGCCGAAUUCCGGAAUAUAAAAACAUCUUUAUCUGCAAGAGAAUCGUAUGGCGACGAUGCUAUCGGAUACGUGCAACUACAAAGGACUCAAGCUUUAUGUACUAUAAAGUGUACAAUUUGUCCGGAACAUAAAGUUCGUUCCAAACCAUAUUCUGCAACUCUCAUUGUAGAUGAGCAAGAAGAUGAUGUGCUACAGGUGACAUGCCAUGAUUGUCCUGCGUCUGCCGGUGGAUGUAAACAUGCUGUGGCGUUUUUAAUGUGGUGUCAUCGUAGAAGUGAAGAGCCAUCAUGCACUUCAGUCCAAUGUUAUUGGAAAAAAUCGACACUAUCAAAGGUCGGAUCUUCAAUAAAAAUUAUGACAACGAAAGAAAUGACAAAAAAGAAGCUAAAAAGUGCUGAAACUAGUAUAGGUGACAGUGUAGUUGAAGAUUUUUUGAUUGAAUCUAAAAAAAGAAAAAUUACUUCUUGUCAAUAUUUAAAGCAUGAAAAUGAUUUUGUUUGCAAAAAAAGUAAUACACUGUCACUACAUUACCUGAUGUGUAGUAACAACACCAAUAAAUGUGAUGAUUUCCUAAACCUAAUAGGUAAAGUUUUCAAUGAUAUAAAUAUCAGAAAUGUUGAGAAACAAACUAGAAACCAACAUAAGAGUGGAUUAUGGUAUGAGUUACGUUAUGGGAGAAUCACGGCUUCAAAAUGCUUUGAAGUCAGUAGGUGUAAAACCACUGAUGGUUCUUUGGUUGCCACCAUUCUUGGAGGAAGAACCAUCGAAACUACUGCAAUAAAGCGAGGCAGAAAUUUGGAAGACAGUGUGCGAAAAACUGUGGAGAAAAAAUUGGGGAAAAAAAUAGAAAAAUGUGGAUUAUUUAUUUCCGAAGAGAAUCCUAUGAUUGCAGGUUCGCCAGAUGGCAUUUGUGAAAAAAAUACUACGAUUGAAAUUAAGUGCCCAAGUACCAAAAAAACUGAAAAUAAAUAUAUUAAAGACGGUGCUAUCACUAAACAACACUAUGCUCAAGUACAAGUACAAAUGUAUUGUGCAAAAGUGAAUAAAAGUUAUUUCUGUGUCGCAAGUAGUGGUUUCGAAAAGGACAAUAAAGUGAAUAUUAUAGAGAUUGCAUAUGAUCAAAUAUAUGUGUCAGAACUGCUCCACAGUGUUAUUUCAUUUUGGAAAAGAAAUAUUUUUCCCAUUUUAUAUGAAACUGUACAAACAUAAUAAAAAAAAUAACUUUAAAUAAUAA